rnacentral:rRNA from 1 species
GAUGAACGCUAGCUACAGGCUUAACACAUGCAAGUCGUGGGGCAGCAUGGUCAGAGCUUGCUCUGACUGAUGGCGACCGGCGCACGGGUGAGUAACGCGUAUCCAACCUGGCCCAUAGUAGGGAAUAGCCCGGCGAAAGUCGGAUUAAUGCCCUAUGUUCUCCUUUGACGGCAUCUGACGAGGAGCAAAGAUUCAUCGCUAUGGGAUGGGGAUGCGUCUGAUUAGGUUGUUGGCGGGGUAACGGCCCACCAAGCCAUCGAUCAGUAGGGGUUCUGAGAGGAAGGUCCCCCACAUUGGUACUGAGACACGGACCAAACUCC